CACAGUCUAGCUGGCAAUGGGGUCAGGAGACGUUUUGCUACUUCACAUCUUUUGGUCACUGGUAAAUAUUAAGUUUCCUCAGAUUAGAAGGGAGAGAAAUGCACACACAUGAUCCACCAGCCCGUGUGGGAUUCCCUCUGCCCUUCUGGCAUCUGAAGGCUGUGAUUCAAAGAUCCCCCCUGCAACCUUUCCACAAAUGAACCAACUGAUUCUCACAACCGAAGGGAGAAUUGACACCUCCCAUUCAGGGACAAAAAAAAGUCACACUCUGGCCUGCUGGCAAGUCACCUGUCAUUUCCAGCUCAUCUUCAUAGUUCCAUAGUUAGUCCUAUUCUUUAGUAAAUAUAAAGACUAUUAAAAGCUUCUAUGAGGUG